rnacentral:tRNA from 1 species
AUUAGGGUGGCAGAGCCAGGCAUAAUGCAAAAGGCCUAAGACCUUUCUAUCAGAUGUUCAAAUCAUCUCCCUAAUA